UUUAGUGUGCAUUUAAUGUAUUUAUUUCAAUUGCAUAUCUGAGAGUAAAACAAAAAGACAAAAGUAAAAUAAUACCAAAAUGUUUCUGUUCUGAUAAAAUGAAAUACAUGUUGCUCUUGAAAGAGCGAACCCCAAAAUGGGGAGCCGCAUCUCUCGCCCCGAUCGCGGGGUGGGGUGCCCCCAGGAAGCACGAGUAGCCAUUCUUUUUUUUUUUUUUAAUUUCUUUUUUUCGGAGCUGGGGACCGAACCCAGGGCCUUGCGCUUCCUAGGCAAGCGCUCUACCACUGAGCCAAAUCCCCAACCCCUACGAGUAGCCAUUCUUGAUGUAACAGCAAGAGGUAGCUUUUAUUAACGAGAUCCCGGGUCUUAGCGAGAUCCCGGGUCGACACGUAUCUCACACAGGAGACAGAGGAAUCGACCCCGAGCUUCCAAACUCGGGGGUUUUUAUAGGGGAGGUAAGGGGCAUUCUCGCGGUUACACAUGAUUGGUCAAUUCAAAUGGUGCACAGUUACUUUCGUCGCGAAAUUACAUCAGCAAGGAGUAUAUGUUAUCUAGCAGCUCGGCAGGCAGGUAGGGUGGCUCAUCUCACUCAGGGGAGUGAAGGAAGGGGAGGGGGUGGCUACGGAUGGUCAGUGUCCUUGGGGCUGAUAGCUGGUUUGGCAAGUCCUAUCUCUGGCUCUCCCUCAGGCACGUCCGGCCCUGCACAUCCGGACUCUGACAAUGAGCAACCUUUAUGAAACUCUAGUUCUGCACAUUCGGGCUCUGACAAUGAGUAACCUUUAUGAAACUCUAGUUCUACACUCUAUCCAUCCUCCUUCUUCAUUGCCCUUUGACCCCUCCUUUCAUUGAUCUCCCUUCUUCUCCACAGUAGUCUUUGUUCAGUUGAUGUGAUUUCAUUUAAUUUUGGGGUUUACAAGUCUGGGAGAGUGACUCUAGGAGCAGGUUGGGGAAAGAGGGAGGCUAUGGCUGAGAUUUUUCGUUUUUAAAGCUUUUUUAAAACUUGCAAGAGUGAGAUCCAGACAUGUCCAAACUCAUCUUGAGACUGGCAGGAGUAAGAAUUCCUCCCUCCCUGAUCUGGCCAGGGGCAUGUAGCCUUACAACUCCUACCUCCACUGCUUUUUAGGUAGUCACCAGUCUGGUGGCCAAAGUACAGGUUUAACUUUCCCUCUUCUUUUAAGGAAAUGUUUAGCAAGCACCUGGAAUUCCUCUUCAUGUAAAUGAAGCAUUCCCAGCACCACCUUAGCCCCAGUCAAUGAUGUACACUCAUCCCAAAACCCUCCACCAACUCCCCAGGUAUGCAGCAGUGCCUGAAUACCCUGAAGGCAGGAGCAGAACUGGUCAGGAGCAUAAGCUCACACAUGCAGGGGUCAAACUGAAAGGAACUUUGCAGAAGGCACAUGCAGCACAGUAGGAGCAUUCAGAUUCUGCAGGAAGAGCAUGAUUUUGGGGGCGGGGUGGGGGAACAGCCUAAUUCUCAUUCUCUCUCUCUCUCUCUCUCUCUCAAACAUUUAUUUAUUAUGUAUACAUCAUACAGCUUUCUGCCUGCAUGUAUUCCUGCAGGCCAGAAGAGGGCACCAGAUAUGGUUAUGAACCACUAUGUGGUUGCUGGGAAUUGAACUCAGGACCUCUGGAAGAGCAAACAGUGCUCUUAACCUCUGAGUCAUCUCUCCAGCCCCAUCCUGAUUCUCUUAACAGAUGAUAAGUACAUACCAUACUAAAUGUCUACAGUUCGACCUGGUGAGGAACUGUGGUUAGAGACUAAUAAAAAAAUCCAGAGUGGUUCCUGUAAGCAGAACUAAGGUUAGUCUUAAAUGGUAAAACUUGUUCUCUGGGUUUGAGCUUCCUCACAGAGAGAAGUUAUUGUGAAUUGUUGUCUAUAUGCAGGUGAAGGCAGGCACAAUAUAAGGCAAGGCCUGUGAUUGGGCUUUGAAAAAGUAAGGUGGGCAAAGAGUUUUGGAGAGAGAAGAGAGGAGAAAGAAGAACCAAUGGAGGAGGAGGAGAACAACAACCCAGAUCUGUGUGGCCUUAAAGGGCCACAUGUAGUUAUGAAUAUUUCAUAAGGGAUGGAUUUUUAUAGGGCAAUUUGUCUAUCUAGGUGGGCAGUUUAUAUUAAUAUUAAUUGGUUUAGCAUUUAUUGUAUGGAUGCUUUGUAGGGUGAGGAUUUACUGAUAAAAAUCUAAUUCAUAAAUUACAAGCUUAUUGAAUUUUGAUUUUGCUGGGUUACUGGGAGUUGUGACUAUAACCACAGGGGGCGGAUACUGAGACUGUAAACAGAGUUCAUAGCAGAGAGUUGCAAGAAGGUGGCUGCUGCUGGGUCAGAGAGUAACCAGCGACAAGGUGGGGCUAGCCACGGCAGCGAUUGCUACAGGGCCCAGAGAGUAGCCGGCUACAGUUUGGGAUAGAAAUUGGAAACUUAGUGAGUUGGUUGAGACACUGUUGAUUAAGAUGAAAAUACCCCACAGAUGCCAUGUGGCGAACCGGAGCCGGCAAUAGAGUGGGAUGG
ensembl:lncRNA